AUUAGAGUUUGUCCUGGCUCAGAUUGAACGCUGGCGGCAGGCCUAACACAUGCAAUCGAGCGGUAGAGAGAAGCUUGCUUCUCUUGAGAGCGGCGGACGGGUGAGUAAUGCCUAGGAAUCUGCCUGGUAGUGGGGGAUAACGUUCGGAAACGGACGCUAAUACCGCAUACGUCCUACGGGAGAAAGCAGGGGACCUUCGGGCCUUGCGCUAUCAGAUGAGCCUAGGUCGGAUUAGCUAGUUGGUGAGGUAAUGGCUCACCAAGGCGACGAUCCGUAACUGGUCUGAGAGGAUGAUCAGUCACACUGGAACUGAGACACGGUCCAGAACUCCUACGGGAGGCAGCAGUGGGGAAUAUUGGACAAUGGGCGAAAGCCUGAUCCAGCCAUGCCGCGUGUGUGAAGAAGGUCUUCGGAUUUAAGCAAUUUAAGUUGGGAGGAAGGGCAUUACCUAAUACG
rnacentral:rRNA from 1 species